GAAACUGCCUAAUAGAAGCAAGGGAAUGUAUAACAAUCUAAUUUUUACACAUCCUUCUAUCAGACCUUAAAAAAGCGGAAAGACGUCAUCGUUGUCAUCAUCCAUAUCAAAAUACUUGAAGCCAAUAUCAUUGUCUGGAUUUGGAUUGAAGUCAGGACUCACGUAGCAUUUCAUCUCAUGGAACAGGUUCAAAUUGUCCACAAGCUUGUGAAAUACAUUGCAUCCACAACACUGGACAAAAACAGUGCCAUCAGUAUAGGCGUGAGGAUUGAUGGCACGAGUAGUUCGUUGGCCACAGACGUUGCAAGUAAAGGCCACACGCAUACGCCUUCGCGGAGAUUUAGUAAAGAGAGACCAAGGGAAGGUGGAAAUCUGGUCAGUAUUGGAUUCAGAAUCAGAACCAGCAGGCACAGGUGGCCCCUCCAUACCCGAGCCAGUAGUCCAGCCUCUUACAUUAGCUGCACUAAGGACCAAACCCAUAGCUGCAUCCUUGGAGAGAGUAGGAUUGUUGAAGAUGGGAACGAUACUGGUGUUGUCAUUCGCAUCAGAUUGAAGAUCGGAUUCAUUUCCAUUAUUUUUGCGUGAAACUGAAAACUUGACAAUUUUACGAGAAGAGAGAUGUUUGGAUUUAGGAGCAAAAACGGAUAGAGAAGGGGUAGUUGUGGCAGAAGACGUCAAAGUUUCCAUGGCUAUCAGUGAAGCUUUGCAG
rnacentral:misc_RNA from 1 species